GGAGAGGUGGCCGAGUGGUCGAAGGCGCUCCCCUGCUAAGGGAGUAUACCAGUGAUGGUAUCGAGGGUUCGAAUCCCUUCCUCUCCG
rnacentral:tRNA from 3 species